rnacentral:lncRNA from 1 species
CCAGGAACAUUUUUAUAUGGAAACCCAAAGCAUGCUUGUUGUCCCCAAAGGAGAGGACGGAGAGAUUGACAUCUAUGUGUCCACACAGUUCCCCAAGCAUAUACAGGUAACAUGGGGUCAUGGAGGAGGGGGCGUGGCUAAGUGGUUUCUGACAGCAAAAUGUACAAGGACAGUGACAGGCAAAACAACAUAUUAAGUACUUAUACUCAUAUGCAAUUGGAUAUUAACAACCCUAGAGUUUCCUAACUUAGAAGAGGGUUUUUACUAGAGAGAAGUCUUUGCUUGUGGAUCCAUUGCUUUAAAAUCAGUUAUACAAGCAGCAGAAAACUCCUGAUGUCCUCCUGACUGUUAGAAACAAAGGGAAGAUGGGAAGGGCCUGUCCUCUCAAGCUGAUAGUACCUCAUCUUCAAGGAGCAGCUAGGAAACUGUAUUAGACAAGACAUGAAGGGGUUGGGGAUUUAGCUCAGUGGUAGAGCGCUUGCCUAGCAAGCGCAAGGCCCUGGGUUCGGUCCCCAGCUCCGAAAA